GACGAACGCUGGCGGCGUGCCUAAUACAUGCAAGUAGAACGCUGAAGGAGGAGCUUGCUUCUCUGGAUGAGUUGCGAACGGGUGAGUAACGCGUAGGUAACCUGCCUGGUAGCGGGGGAUAACUAUUGGAAAUGAUAGCUAAUACCGCAUAAUAGUAGAUGUUGCAUGACAUUUGCUUAAAAGGUGCAAUUGCAUCACUACCAGAUGGACCUGCGUUGUAUUAGCUAGUUGGUGGGGUAACGGCUCACCAAGGCGACGAUACAUAGCCGACCUGAGAGGGUGAUCGGCCACACUGGGACUGAGACACGGCCCAGACUCCUACGGGAGGCAGCAGUAGGGAAUCUUCGGCAAUGGACGGAAGUCUGACCGAGCAACGCCGCGUGAGUGAAGAAGGUUUUCGGAUCGUAAAGCUCUGUUGUAAGAGAAGAACGAGUGUGAGAGUGGAAAGUUCACACUGUGACGGUAUCUUACCAGAAAGGGACGGCUAACUACGUG
rnacentral:rRNA from 1 species